AAAGAACGGAAAAGAAAAAAGAAAACCUAGCGCAGUCGCAUCUUCUCAAUGGACGGAUCCGCCAUCAAAGGUGUGGAAUUGAACGAUAGUGACGUAGGAAUUGGGGGAAGCAGUGCAAUUAUGCAGUAGGAUGUUGAGCAGGAUUUACGUUGAGGGAUACGACACUUCGCUCUCUGGCUACACGAUUUCAUUGAGGCUAUGAGAAAACACUUCGCUUCAUGUGGAGUGGUGAUACAUGUUCAUAUUCCCGGAUACGUUGUGAGCAGCGUCCCCAGUAUUCUCAACAGUUUUGCCUUGGUUUAUCUUCGGGGAGAAGGUGCAGAAGAGAAGGCGUUGAAACUUAGUGGGAGUGACAUGGGAGGACACAAGGUAGUCGCUAAGCCUUACCCGUUUAACGCCACUGACCUUGACCCUGUGCUCUCUCUUACAAGAGACUCAGACAAUAGCCGACAGCACAUGUAACUUGUUUCGUUUUAACUUUUUUUUAAUAUUUUGGAUCUGUAAGAUAUGUUGCUGUCAUGUUAA